UACGUAGGGACCGAGCGUUGUCCGGAAUCAUUGGGCGUAAGGAGCGUGUAGGCGGCUAUUUAAGUCCUGCGUGAAAUCCUGCGGCUCAACCGCAGACGGUCGUGGGAAACUGGAUGGCUAGAGUGCGGGAGAGGAGAGUGGAAUUCCCGGUGUAGCGGUGAAAUGCGCAGAUAUCGGGAAGAACACCCGUGGCUAAGGCGGCUCUCUAGUACGGUACUGACGCUGAGACGCGAAAGCGUGGGGAGCGAACAGG
rnacentral:rRNA from 1 species